GGAAUAUUGCGCAAUGGGGGAAACCCUGACGCAGCAACGCCGCGUGAGUGAGGAAAGCCCUCGGGUCGUAAAGCUCUGUCAAAUAGGAAGAACGGCAUAGAUUCACAUAGGGUUUAUGUUUGACGGUACUAUUAACGGAAGCACCGGCUAACUUCGUGCCAGCAGCCGCGGUAAUACGAAGGGUGCAAUCGUUGUUCGGAUUUAUUGGGCGUAAAGCGCGCGCAGGCGGACAGUUAAGCCAGAUGUGAAAUCUCGGGGCUCAACCCCGAAACUGCGUCUGGAACUGGUUGUCUAGAGUCUCGGAGGGGGAAGGGGAAUUUCGCAUGUAGGGGUAAAAUCCGUAGAGAUGCGAAGGAACUCCAGUGGCGAAGGCGCCUUCCUGGACGAGUACUGACGCUGAGGCGCGAAAGCGUGGGGAGCA
rnacentral:rRNA from 1 species